rnacentral:rRNA from 1 species
CAGCCGCCGCGGGAAUACGGAGGGAGCUAGCGUUGUUCGGAAUUACUGGGCGUAAAGCGCGCGUAGGCGGUUACUCAAGUCAGAGGUGAAAGCCCGGGGCUCAACCCCGGAACUGCCUUUGAAACUAGGUGACUAGAAUCUUGGAGAGGUCAGUGGAAUUCCGAGUGUAGAGGUGAAAUUCGUAGAUAUUCGGAAGAACACCAGUGGCGAAGGCGACUGACUGGACAAGUAUUGACGCUGAGGUGCGAAAGCGUGGGGAGCAAACAGGAUUAGAUACCCCGGUAGUCCCUGUCUCUUAUAA